UUAUAUGUGGGCGAUGAGGUUCGCCUUGGUAUUAGCCUAAAUUGUCUCGAUCGAGACUGAUAACUUCUAUUUUCAA
rnacentral:ncRNA from 2 species